AUGGAGCGCCCAUCACCCGCGGCGGAGCUGCAAUGGAGCGCCCGUCACCUGCGGCGGAGCUGCAAUGGAGCGCUCAUCGUCGGGUCCCGGCCCCGUGCUCCUAUGCAGCACUCGCGCGAUGGGUCCCGGUGCUGCAUCGCAAUGCUUGCCGGCGGCUCGAUGCAGCGUCGCGGUUGGCUCUUGGGAGAGCUCGGCGCUGCUGCCACGCUUGGAGUCGAUGCCCUUGCCACGACCGGCGACGAUGCUAUGUUGCAGCAGGUUGGUCUACUGCCGAAGGGAGCUGCCAUGGCCAGGAGGCUGUUGUAA
rnacentral:rRNA from 1 species